CAGAGGGAAGCAAAAUAGUGAUAUGGAGCAAAACCCUAAAAACGGUCUCAGUUCGGAUUGAAGGCUGAAAUUCGCCUUCAUGAAGCUGGAAUUACUAGUAAUCGCAGAUCAGAAUGCUGCGGUGAAUGCGUUCCCGGGUCUUGUACACACCGCCCGUCACACCACGGAAGUUGGGGGCGCCCGAAGCCACUUAGCUAACCCUUUUGGGAAGCGAGUGUCGAAGGUGAAAUCAAUAACUGGGGUGAAGUCGUAACAAGGUAGC
rnacentral:rRNA from 1 species